CCUACGGGUGGCAGCAGUGAGGAAUAUUGGUCAAUGGACGAGAGUCUGAACCAGCCAAGUAGCGUGAAGGAUGACUGCCCUAUGGGUUGUAAACUUCUUUUAUAUGGGAAUAAAAUGUUACACGUGUGGGAUUUUGUAUGUACCAUAUGAAUUAGGAUCGGCUAACUCCGUGCCAGAAGUCGCGGUAAUACGGAGGGUCCGAGCGUUAUCCGGAGUGAUUGGGUUUAAGGGGAGCGUAGGUGGAUUGUUAAGUCAGUUGUGAAAGUUUGCGGCUCAACCGUAAAAUUGCAGUUGAAACUGGCAGUCUUGAGUACAGUAGAGGUGGGCGGAAUUCGUGGUGUAGCGGUGAAAUGCUUAGAUAUCACGAAGAACUCCGAUUGCGAAGGCAGUUCACUGGACUGCAACUGACACUGAGGCUCGAAAGUGUGGGUAUCAAACAGGAUUAGAUACCCGAGUAGUC
rnacentral:rRNA from 1 species